UGUGGGUAGGUAUGAAUGUAUUUCAAGCACAUUACUCUCCCGUGGUUAACAAAUAGACACAGUAAAUAGUAUAUACAUAAAGGUGGGAAAUUGAGAUGGGUCAUUCCUGGUAUAGAAUCUCUGGAAAUCCCAAUCACUAUUAUUAUCAUUCAUCGAGUGAUUUAAUUCUCAUAAUUCCCAAAGAUUACUAUUUUAAUUUCUACUAUUAAAAAGUAUGCUGUACAAAAUACAUUUGCAUGAACAAAAUAGACAAGUUAGUAACAAUGUAUAGACAUUAAUCUUGUAAUUUGCUUUUUACAUUUAAACACUGUACUAAUUAAAAUAUCUGUCAUUCACUACUAAGUUACUCCUGUCACUUUCUAUAUCAGGGAAUGCCAUCCUUCCCAAACCCAAAAGGAUCUGGAAAUUAAUAAUGCAUCCCUGUUCUUUAUCUUUCUGACUGCUAUCUCAACAAUCUCACUUGAGAAGCUAUGUCUUCAGUGUCUCAGUUACUCUUUGCUGCACACCACUUACUACAAAACUUGGUGGAUUAAAACAAUAAUUCCUGUCUGGUUUUGCCUGGGCUCGCUCAUGGGGCUGCAUCAGCUGGAUGAGCAGAGGGGCUGGAAGGUCCAAGGUGACCUUACUCACAUGUCCGAUACUUGGUUCUGGCUGUCACCUGGGAAGCCUCAGGUUACCACUUGGCUUCUCAACCUCCAGUAAGCAGAAGUUUCUUCAUGUGGAGGUCUCAGGGUAGUGUUCCAGGAAAUGCAAAGGCAGAAACUGCAACGCCUCUUAAGUCCUAGCCCCUAGAAUUCACAGAAUGUUACUUUUGGCACAUUUUAUUGGUCAAACAAAUAAAAAGUCAGCCCAGAGUCAAGGUAUAGAUAAAAAGACUCCACUUCCGAAUGAAAAGCCAUAUUGCAAAAGGGCCCAGUACAGAAACUGGAGGAAUUUGUGGCCAUUAAAAAACCUACCACACCUGUUCACAAAGGCCAACUUCUCAGUUCAUAAGGCAGAUGCACAUCUUGUCCCUGGCAUUUGAAAUUGCAAAUGUCUAAUGUCUCUGUGUGUCACACAUUUGAAAAACACUUUGUGCAAUACUAUAAAUACUAAAUAUUCCAUGAAAUUUUCAGGAAUAAAAAAAGAGUAAUCUAGAACUAUGGUAAACAAUUUUUUCCUGAUCACACCAAAAACUUGAUGUCAUGAGCUUCAUGCUUCAUGUUUCAAUUCAAUAUUCUCUGCUGUGUGACAGCAACCUUGAUGUCUUGUAAGAAGGUUCAGUGGUUCAGAAUUCAGCAAGAGCCCACCAUCAGCCUACUGGGCCACCAUUUCUAAACUGAACAGUGCUUGCUUUAAAUACCCUUUUGAACAAGUACUAUACGCCAAGAACUAUGAUAUACGCCUUGGAUGGAAAAAAUAGGUGAGGGCGUGCUGAAAUGGUAGAGAUUUACACUGUGUGCUUUGAAAGAACAGAGGAAAGGAAGCCCAUCCACUCCAAUCU
rnacentral:lncRNA from 1 species